UAAAACAUGAGAUCGAAAUUUGUGUUGAUUAUGAAUCGAUUUUAGAUCUAUUUUUGACAUCUUGAAUAUCAAGUUUGUAGAAAGUGUUGAAUUGCAGGUUUUUAUUGUUACAUCGAAGAAGAAGAGAACAAUAUAGUUGUUAAUUACAAUUCAUAUAUCACAUCACUGUUUCUAUUGUUGUUGGCAAUUGAUGAAGCUGAAGAUGAAUGGAGCCAAGAGCAAUUUUGGUUGCAUAAUUUGAAAGAAAUUGUAGGUUGUGAUUCACGAAGAUAAAAAUUGCAGCUUUUGCUAUUUACAGCAACUCCAACGAUCAGAUGCACUCUGUGAUUUAUAUAAUAGGAUUUGUUCCCCUUGCACUGAAUCAAAUCAGAUGCUCUAUCAGUUCCAGGUAA
rnacentral:lncRNA from 1 species